AUAUAAAAUGUCUAACAUAGAAAAAUGUGUUGGUGAAGGAUAGAUGGAAAUUCAGCGAAGCUACCAUUAGAUUACAUACAAAUGACAACCAUCCGCUUAAUACCAGUCUUAAUCAAACAAUACAGUCAAUAUUCGAUACUAUGCUAAGAGAUCCCAAGCGUGAAACUCGCAAAAGCAAGACACCAAUUUGAUUAUUAUAUGCAAAAAUAAAUUUAUUUAAUAAACAAAACAUUAUAAUAUUAUAUUA